rnacentral:rRNA from 1 species
CCACUGCUAUCGGGAUAGGACUAAGACAUGCUAGUUGAGCGCUUCCAGCCAAUACGGGAGCGCAGCGCACAGCUCAGUAACACGUGGCUAAUCUGCCCUUGGGACCGGAACACCCCCGGGAAACUGGGGCUAAUUCUCGAUAGGUGAAGAACUCUGGAAUGAGUCUUCACCAAAAAGACGUUUACGUUAUGCUCGUAGGCGUCGCCCAAGGAUGAGGCCGCGACCGAUCAGGUUGUUGGUGAGGUAAUGGCUCACCAAGCCUUUUACCGGUGCGGGCCGUGAGAGCGGGAGCCCGGAGAUGGGCACUGAGACAAGGGCCCAGGCCCUACGGGGCGCAGCAGUCGCGAAAACUUUGCAAUACACGAAAGUGUGACAGGGCUAUCCCGAGUGCCAUCCGCUGAGGAAGGCUUUUACCCAGUCUAGAACGCUGGGGGAAUAAGGAGAGGGCAAGUCUGGUGUCAGCCGCCGCGGUAAUACCAGCUCUCCGAGUGGUGUGGAUGUUUAUUGGGCCUAAAGCAUCCGUAGCUGGCUGAGUUAGUCCCUUGUUAAAUCCACCGAAUUAAUCGUUGGAUUGCGGGGGGAUACUGCUCGGCUAGGGGACGAGAGAGGCAGACGGUAUUUCUGGGGUAUGGGUGAAAUCCUAUAAUCCCAGGAGGACCACCAGUGGCGAAAGCUGUCUGCUAGAACGCGCCCGACGGUGAGGGAUGAAAGCUGGGGGAGCGAACCGGAUUAGAUACCCGGGUAGUCCCAGCUGUAAACGA